UACGGAGGAUCCGAGCGUUAUCCGGAUUUAUUGGGUUUAAAGGGUGCGUAGGCGGCCUAUUAAGUCAGGGGUGAAAGACGGUAGCUUAACUAUCGCAGUGCCUUUGAUACUGAUGGGCUUGAAUACACUAGAGGUAGGCGGAAUGUGGCAAGUAGCGGUGAAAUGCAUAGAUAUGUCACAGAACACCAAUUGCGAAGGCAGCUUACUAUGGUGCAAUUGACGCUGAGGCACGAAAGCGUGGGGAUCAAACAGG
rnacentral:rRNA from 1 species